rnacentral:sRNA from 2 species
UGAUAGUCCCCUGUAGGGGAGUAAAUCUCUUUUAGCCGGGAGAUUUCUCGGUCCUUGCCAGCUAAUGGCUUGGUUUAUCUACUCCGUUCUCCAGAACAAUUGGACCGGGUUCAAUCAGAGAUACCCAUUGCCAUGCUUGGAUCUGAGUAUGAGUGUUGAUGUGCCUGUAGCUGUGAGGUUGUGGAGGGGCGGAGAGGAGCGGUAGCAGUUGAUUACUUCCAUAAAUGAGAUAGAUGGUGGAAAGCUCAAAUACCAUUCUCGCCAUCUUCGUUAUUGGAUGUAGAUACUUGGAGGAAAGUGUG